ensembl:lncRNA
UUUAUGAGGUGUUAUCCGUACCUGGGAGACACGAAGAGAGGAAGAAAAACAAAGCUCAAGUGCACAGAUUUCUGCAAUUCUGUCCUUCAGAAUGUUCAUUUUAUAUGGUGACUGUGUUAAGGAGUGCCAUUGUUGCCUCUCUGAAAUGAGAAUGCACAGUAGCCAGACUGCCUGAGGAUCACUGCAGAUGAAAAGCAGGAAUGGGAGAAGGUGAGGGUGGAAAUACAUUUUGCCUCUGAAGUCAAGUAACUGGCUUCCAUCUAAGAGAAAACUGGGACAAGACAUCAUUAUGGAUCUACAGGGAAAAUGAAGGAAAAGAGAAGAGGGUCAGAGCAUCCCCAACAAAUAAAAGCUACUGGCUGUGAGCUGAGAUAAUGUCUUCUGGGGGAAUGAGGUUAUGAUCAGCGUCUGCUUCGUGUUCAGUUUCGCUUUCACCAGUGUCUUCGCUGGAGAUGGUUGGAAAAGCUGUCUUUCCAGCGUGUGUGGGAGUCAGUGCUCCAUUCCGAUGGGUGUCAGCCAGGUGGAUGAGGCCAGAAGCAAAGCUGAGAUUUACAGGCGGUUCCUGUUGGCUUGCAAGGGCGGACAGCUGGGAGGGAGAUGUGAGUAUCCUGAAGGAUAGAUGCAGCAUGCUCUGAUCUUCAAACCACUGGGCUGAGGAGGCAGGAACUCCUUCUAGCUUCGGCAAUUCCCUGACCAGCCGUGGAUGUGUCAAUGAAGCAAAAACGUUCAAAGCCAACAGCUGAAGAAGUAGGGCCACAAAAAAUGACACGGCUCGAACUUCAAAGGAACGGAGCAACCAGCAGGUUUCGUUUGUUUUGGCACCUCUGUAAUGAAACCAACUGCCCAACAGCGUGUCCAAGGAUUUGUUUAACGUUUUCAUUACUUCUUCUGCCUCAGUUUCUUACCUAGUAAAAAAUGACUAUGCUUCCCUGUCUCAUGAGAUGAUAGUGAGGAGUUCUAUGCAAAAUGGACUGGCUGCAUUUUUGGCUUAGAUUUAAGGGCCAAAAAGGAAACACAGUUCAGGCAGUGAGCUGUAAGAUAAAGCUCAUUACUGCAAAGAGAAGAAACACUCUCCAGACUAAUGCAAGUCUUUGUGAGAAUGAUGUCACUUUGGAGUGUCAUCGCAGCAAUGCAGAAGGAGUUACGAGUCAUAGAAUGUCCCAAGCUGGAAGGGAAGUGUAAGACUCAUCGAGUCCAGCUCCUGGUUGUAUUAAUGCAGCACUCAUUUUUCAUAUAAAACACGUGGCUUCGGAGAAUCAUAGAAUCCUGAGAGUUGGAAGGGACCUUUCAAGGUCACACAGUCCAAAUCCCCUACAAUGGGACAUGCACAGCUAGAUCAGGUUGCCCAGGGCAGAUCUAGAUCUGGGUCAAUAAUAAAGUGGCUGGGCUAUACCUCUUAGCAAGACGCAUCAAGCCCAUAGGCCUGAGUUUAUGGGGAUUUUGGAAUCAUUUCACCGUUUCUAAGACUAACCUGUGGCUUUGAUUUAGCAAGAGACAUUUUUGAGAGCUGAAGAAGCAGCAGUUUGGCUGUUUGUCAGCUUGAGAAGCACUGUGUAUUGUCUGCCUUUGGCUGGAGGGAGAAAAUGAAGGCAUAGCAAGACAGUAGCUGUUCUGUUUCCACUGGGGCUGCAGAGCCCCAGUCAGCCUGACAAAAUGUGCUGAGGUUCCUCCACUGAUCGUGUCUGGCUUUUCUUGCUGAGCAAUG